CGUGGGUAACCUGCCCAAGAGACUGGGAUAACACCUGGAAACAGAUGCUAAUACCGGAUAACAACACUAGACGCAUGUCUAGAGUUUAAAAGAUGGUUCUGCUAUCACUCUUGGAUGGACCUGCGGUGCACUAGCUAGUUGGUAAGGUAACGGCUUACCAAGGCAAUGAUGCAUAGCCGAGUUGAGAGACUGAUCGGCCACAUUGGGACUGAGACACGGCCCAAACUCCUACGGGAGGCAGCAG
rnacentral:rRNA from 1 species